GGAAUCUUGGAGGGAAGAAAAGUGUUGAGGUGGAAAAGGCAGAUUUAGGGAAAAUCCGAGGGGAGAGGCCGGCUGGGAGUACGUUUGGCUCAGAGAGCCCGCGCGACGGCCCUGUGGAGAGGAGAGGAGAGGAGAGGAGGGAGCGCGCCCGCCAUCGCGGCCUCGCUGCGGCCGCGCUCUCUCCUCACCCGGUUUUCGGGGAAAAUAACGCUGCCGCGGGUCGGUUCGGUGGCACUGAGGUGGUUUCCCCCUCUCUCUGUUUUUCCUCGUAGGCUGCAGGGAGGGUUUGUAACGCGAGCGAGGCAGCGCGCAGGGUUCGUGUUUUUAAAUGAAGAGGCAAGUGUUUCUCGUACUCGUGGGCUGGGAGGAGGAAGGAGGGUUUUUUAUAGCACUGCCUACUACACGGGGGUUUUCUCUCAUCCCAUGCCUUAUUUAGUUUCCUCGGUGCUUACUACGCGUACUAUACUUACACCCGUAAUAUGCAAAGUGCUUUUCGAGCAGAGUUGGUAUCCAAAGGCAAGUAGAGUCUAAAAAGGGAAAGACUUGAAACACAUGGGAAAAGAAUAAAGCGCACAAGUAAAGGCCUCAUAAUAUCGUGGGUUUUAUGUUUCAGAAAAAGGUCCGAAGACUGGAGGAGAAGCUUUAGGCAGACCUUGUGGGCUGUACACAGUGCUUAUACCCUGCCGGUCAGCAGAAUGUAUUUAUCUGCAGAUGAACACACAAACUUCUUUUUCUACAUCUUAUUUCUCCUCGCCUCCCCUUCUACCUAGAUUUUCCUCCCCAGAUUUAGACUUUCAAGACUGAGGUCUGGAAGAGUACCAAACUGAUUCAGAAGCACAAAACCGGUUGUAAACGAUGAGGAGGAUUCUAGCCUGCUUGAUGCACUUUAGCUUUUUGGACUUUUGAAGGUUCUGUUUAUAUAGUAAGGAAGUUUGUAGGCUCUGAUCUAUCUUUUGUUAUCAUGGUUAGCCAUUUUAAGAUGAAAAGUUCUUAACAGAAAAAUAUUUCAAAGUUUGAAAUUGCAGUAGUUCAGAAACUAAAGAAAUAACUAUUAAAUAUCCCAUUGGCACACCAGGAGCACAGAAUGGGAACAAUAUGAAAAAGCAAGCAAUUUGGAUACUAUUCAAUUACAGUUGGCUUUAAAUAAAUAAUUAAAAAUAUU